rnacentral:tRNA from 1 species
AUUACUUUGGCAGAUAAGUGCAAUGAAUUUAGGUUUCAUGAAUGGGAAUUAUAAUUUCGCAGGUAAUA